CUUCUGGAAGAGGAAUUGUGUCUGUGACCAUCACAAAUCUGACCAAGUCUGACUCAGGACGGUACAGGUGUGGUCUGGGCGGGCUUCGGUUCCAGAAUCAUUCAGGGACUUUGAGGUCAGCGUUUCAGAUGAUUGGACCUCCACCAUCGCUGUGCUGAUGUAUGUUGUCUCUAUUCCUGUCAUGAUUGUCAGCGUCCCAGGGCUGACACUGAUGAUAAUCUUUAUUCAGAAAUACAUCAAACCUAAAGGUUUGCAGACCAGAGGAAAUUCAGAUGGCACAAACAUGGAGGUGACUUUCUUUAACUCUUUGAUUACUCUCUCUGUUGGAUAAGAUGUACCAGUGCAGGAGACAGUAGUUAAUUCUCAGGAUUGGAAUCAGGAGAAAUUUUAAUAGAUAGUAUCGGCUUAAAUAACACCGAUCACAUGCUGAUCCUUUCUUUACUGAACUCUGCUGUGUUUACUCACCUUGUUGUGUUGCAGCGCAGCUCUCCUUCACGCCUACAGUGCAGCCUUUCACUGCACGUAG